AAGGUUUGAACUUGGAGGAUCCUGUUGAUCCAACGGCUUUCCCGCCAGGCCCAGGUUGGAUAGCCGGUAUUCUAAUCCGGGCCCAGCCCUGGGUCAGCUCCCAUACCUCCCAUACCAGCUAAACAACUUCCAACACCUUCCUGCCCAACGUGCCACACCCAUCCCACUCGGUCAUGUUUUCUCUGCUGUGCUCCCAGCUGCCAUUCACUCUGCCCAAGGCAAUCAGUCUGGAGGCCCCCAGACUAGCUGCUGCCAGCCGGGACCCAUCUGAACCAAAGGCCUUCAUCAAAAGCCCCACAGAGAUAGUACGGUCAAGAGGCCCCACCAGAAGCUGUCUGGAGAAGAGAGCGAAAGCAAGAAACCCGGCCAGGCACCAAGACCACCUGAACAAACACAACAGGCUCUACACAUGUGCCUCUCUGACCUCCACUGCUGCAGGGUGAUGGAGGGCUGCUGCUGGUUCAUGAAGACUAGCAAGGUGGCGGUGAAGGACAGCACUGACCACAUCCAAGACCCUAGACGAUGCAGUGCUCCUGGGAGCUGUGGUACAGUCAGACGGUGGUAACUGGGGCGUGCCUGGCUGCCUUGAAUGAUUAAGAGCAUAUCUAUCCUCCUACCUGGAGUCCACUCUAAGUGAAACUGGGAUCUGGAAUGUGGUAGCCCCUCACGUUCUCUAAAACACUGCCAAAAUUAUAAAACUUGGAUUUAAUUCAACCAGAAACCAGGGCUGCUCUGGGAAGCAGCAGAACCACUUCAACCCCUGGGAACAGGGCCAUGU